AGGUAUGUGACUGACUUUACGAGAGCAGCCAACGCAGUAUCAGUGCGAACCGAGAUUCCCCCAGUAGCGGCGAGCGAACGGGGAGCAGCCCGGAGUCUGAAUCAGCUUGUGUGUUAGUGGAACGGUCUGGAAAGUCCGACGGUACAGGGUGAUAGUCCCGUACACGAAAAUGCACUUGCUGUGAACUCGAAGAGUAGGGCGGGACACGUGGUAUCCUGUCUGAAUAUGGGGGGACCAUCCUCCAAGGCUAAAUACUCCUGACUGACCGAUAGUGAACCAGUACCGUGAGGGAAAGGCGA
rnacentral:rRNA from 1 species